rnacentral:tRNA from 1 species
GCCUGGGUGGCUUAGUCGGUUGGGUGUCUGACUUCAGCUCAGGUCAUGACCUCACGGUUUGUGAGUUCGAGCCCCACGUCGGGCU